rnacentral:rRNA from 1 species
GGGAAGGCCCAGACAGCCAGGAUGUUGGCUUAGAAGCAGCCAUCAUUUAAAGAAAGCGUAAUAGCUCACUGGUCGAGUCGGCCUGCGCGGAAGAUGUAACGGGGCUAAACCAUGCACCGAAGCUGCGGCAGCGACACUGUGUGUUGUUGGGUAGGGGAGCGUUCUGUAAGCCUGUGAAGGUGUACUGUGAGGUAUGCUGGAGGUAUCAGAAGUGCGAAUGCUGACAUAAGUAACGAUAAAGCGGGUGAAAAGCCCGCUCGCCGGAAGACCAAGGGUUCCUGUCCAACGUUAAUCGGGGCAGGGUGAGUCGACCCCUAAGGCGAGGCCGAAAGGCGUAGUCGAUGGGAAACAGGUUAAUAUUCCUGUACUUGGUGUUACUGCGAAGGGGGGACGGAGAAGGCUAUGUUGGCCGGGCGACGGUUGUCCCGGUUUAAGCGUGUAGGCUGGUUUUCCAGGCAAAUCCGGAAAAUCAAGGCUGAGGCGUGAUGACGAGGCACUACGGUGCUGAAGCAACAAAUGCCCUGCUUCCAGGAAAAGCCUCUAAGCAUCAGGUAACAUCAAAUCGUACCCCAAACCGACACAGGUGGUCAGGUAGAGAAUACCAAGGCGCUUGAGAGAACUCGGGUGAAGGAACUAGGCAAAAUGGUGCCGUAACUUCGGGAGAAGG